rnacentral:rRNA from 1 species
AACCUACGGGGCGCAGCAGUGAGGAAUAUUGGUCAAUGGCCGAGAGGCUGAACCAGCCAAGUCGCGUGAGGGAAGACGGCCCUACGGGUUGUAAACCUCUUUUGUCGGGGAGCAAAGCGAGUCACGUGUGACUCAUUGAGAGUACCCGAAGAAAAAGCAUCGGCUAACUCCGUGCCAGCAGCCGCGGUAAUACGGAGGAUGCGAGCGUUAUCCGGAUUUAUUGGGUUUAAAGGGUGCGCAGGCGGAGGUGCAAGUCAGCGGUCAAAUUGCGGGGCUCACCCCCGCACUCCCAUUGAACCGGCUUC